ACGUACUUGCUGACCCAGAAUGCUCUUUGACAUAUGCUGCCAAAAAAUAAACCUGUCCUCCCACAGAAACCUCAAUUGUCCUUUCAUGAAGAAUGAAAAUUUUGAGCUUAGAAUUACCACUUUAAUGCUUGAUUUCAACUAGUUAAGUAAAUUAAUAGUUAUAUAUCAAUAUAUUUGCCUUCAAGCAGCUUAGAUUGUAGCUAGAACAAAAGCUAUAGCAGGGAUGAAAUCGGUGCAAGAUUGUACAAGCCCCUGACUCUGCCUUUUAGGGAGGCUAAAGAAGAGAGAGGCAUGUAUGGGUUUGUUGACUUGGGAACUGAGAGUAGGUUUGAGCCCACCCUUUUGCGUGGUCAGCCUUCCUGUCCAGAGGAAAAGUGUAGAGUGGGAAUGAGAAGGGUAGGAGGAAAAGAUCACUGGGGAGCAGGAAAAUGGGCAGCUGUGUUGUAUCUCCUCAUCUCUUUCCUCCCCUCUACAGGGGAUGCCAGAGAAGAAAUUUCUUUUUUUUUUUUUUGAGACGGAGUCUUGCUCUGUUGCCCAGGCUGGAGUGCAGUGGCACCAUCUCAGCUAACUGCAACCUUUGCCUCCUGGGUUUAAGCGAUCCUCCUGCCUCAGCCCCCCAGUAGCUGUAAUUACAGGCACGCACCACCACGCCCAGCGAAUUUUUCUAUUUUUAGUAGAGAUGGGGUUUUGCCAUGUUGGCCAGGCUGAUCUCGAACUCGUGACCUCAGGUGAUCCGCCCGCCUCGGCCUCCCAAAGCACUGGGAUUACAGGUGUGAGCCACUGUGCCCGGCCCACCAGAGAAGAAAUUUCUAAAGACAGGAGUGGAAAGAGUUUAGAAAGAGAAGCUAGUCAGAGAGGCAGUCAGGCUUGUGGGAGAAUGCUGUGUAAUCCUGUGUCACCAAAGGCUGUUCUUUUCUCAAGAAGCUGAGAUCCAGGAUUAGAGUGGAAAACAAGAAAAACAGAUACAUCAUUUUGUUGACACUCAAUUGCCUUGGCAUUUUGUUUUAUGUGAUUGCUUGCAAGACCACACUUUCAAUCCCUUCCUUCAAUAAGCAUUUGUUAUGCAUCCAAUGAAACAGAAAACAUAAAAUCAUCUUUAACACUCCUUCUUCUCUAAUAGACCUAAAGAAUUCAUUGAGUGUGUCUCCCAUAUCCGACUGUUGUCCUGGCUGCUGCUGGGUUCCCUCACUCACAAUGCAGUGUGCCCAAAUGCCUCCUCUCCCUGCCUGCCCAUUCCUCUGGAUGCAGGCUCCCACGUUGCAGACCAUCUUAUUGUUAUCCUGAUUGGAUUUCCAGAGCAAUCAAAGGUAAGUGAUUUCUGCAAGAUUAAGACCGUAUGCAUCGCAAUUGCUAAUGGAAACCUUAUCAGCCAAUUAUGUUUCUUCUGAGAAGAAAAUGCAUCUUAUCACUUGCCCUCCUGUGGAUGUUAGAAACACAACUUUGUGCUAAUGUCUUAUUUAAAGUUGUUUAGAUUCCCAGACUGUCUUUCCCCCGCCCCCAAAUUGUUUUUUGGCUUACUUUUAUGAAGAUAAAUCGUGGAGUCAAGCAAGAGUUGGCUUCCCAGGCAUUUCUGUCUCAAAAUAAUGAAGAGAAAUAAAAGGCUAGAAAUAUAAUCAAAAUUCUGUGAUCAGUUUUUAAAACCAGAGACAAAACGGAGGAAAAUUUAUUCUCUAUCUAAUUCUUCAUGUACCAUCUUUUCAACUGAAAUCUCUAGAGAUACAGGAAAAUACAAAAUGAAAACAAGAAGGCCAGUUGGGAACUCACUAAAGCACACAUUGGCAUGACCUACACAGGGGAACUUUGUCAACUGCAGAGACAGAUGAUGUGCUAAAGGAAGAAAAUAGACCCAAGGCGGGCACCAGUCGUGAGCCCGUCCAGGCAAACCAGACACAUUGGUACUAAUCAGCUCCGAGGAGCCAGGGGACCUUCACAGAGCUUCGGCAAGUUCUGGGAGGUCACAGUGGCUUUGGGGACAGCUCGGGUUUGGGACAGGGCAAGCUGACGAUGUGAUAAAAUGGCGCACCCAUCCCAAUGAUCCAAAUGAUGUUCACAAAAGGAAUUAGGCAGUCAAUUCCUAAUAUUUCUACUCAGAUCCGGGUUUGAUUCCUAACUAUGGUACUUGCGAUUUUGUGAGCUUGACAAGUGUAUCUAACCUCUCUGUUAUUCAGAUUUUCGUGUGUGAAAUAGACGAGGGGAUGGUUGGAGAGUGAUGGAGGUGAUCUAGGAAAAGCCUUUGGCGCCACCUCUGGCGUGUUGUAGGAGGUGCUCUCUCUGCACGUGCUUUCCGCUAGGAGGAGGAUCUCUGCUGCUGCUGCUAUGAUUAUGAACUUCUGGGCGUGUAUUCACGUAUAUCACCUCCUUUACUCCCAUGCUUUGAAGAGACUACUAUUAUCCCCAUUUUACAGAUGAGGAAACAUCCUAACAUGGCAGAAUGAUUAUUCUCCCUAAUCUAGUUUAGGGAUGGGAAUGUCAGUUUCAUUAAAGGGCAGGGGGGUGGGUAGAUUUCUUCAGCAAAUUAAGGUGCCUUCUCUUCAGAAAUGUGCUUUGUUCUCUGAGCACACUCCCACUGGUGGAGAAGAGAGCACAGCAGAUAGUUUUAAGGUGAUGAAUCAUGACUUUGUAACUCUGAGAUAACGUUAUGCCUUUGUGCUUCCCCUGUGCUCCCUGGCAAGACCGAAGCCAUGCGGGGAGGGCUCCGUGGAGGGCCACAGCCUGCUGGGAUGCAAUGCACUGAUGCCGUCUUCUUCCUUUUCAGACCUCCGUGCUGCACAUGUGCUCCCUCUUCCACGCGUUCAUCUUUGCUCAGCUCUGGACAGUAUAUUGCGAGCAAAGUGCCGUCGCUACAAAUCUCCAAAAUCAGAAUGAAUUCAGCUUCACGGCGAUACUGACAGCACUAGAAUUUUGGAGUAGGGUGACACCCAGCAUCCUUCAGCUAAUGGCCCAUAACAAAGUGAUGGUAGAAAUGGUGUGUCUCCAUGUGAUUAGUUUAAUGGAGGCAUUGCAGGAAUGCAAUUCAACCAUUUUUGUCAAGCUGAUACCUAUGUGGUUGCCAAUGAUUCAGUCAAAUAUCAAGCACUUAUCUGCGGGACUCCAGCUUCGCCUCCAGGCUAUUCAGAACCAUGUGAACCACCACAGCCUAAGGACGCUGCCGGGCUCGGGCCAGAGCAGUGCUGGCCUGGCAGCCCUCCGCAAGUGGUUGCAGUGCACUCAGUUCAAAAUGGCCCAGGUGGAGAUCCAGUCCUCGGAAGCAGCCUCUCAAUUUUAUCCUCUAUGAGUGGACUCCUCGGCGCUCAGUGUCAACACUCUGGUUUAGCAAUAAUGGGUUUAAAAACAAACAAUUUGAUCCAAGCAGGUUGGGGAACAUAUUGGUACUGUACAUUCUCUUUCUAGUUUAGUAAAAGAUGUGCAAAGGCCAGAGAGGGCCGAAAAUGAAGCUUUCUUGCUACACAUAUUUCUGAUGACUCCUUGGGCUAUCUGAUUAAGUGUUUCCUUACAUUAUUUUUUAAAAACCAAAUCAUUUUUCUUUAACUAACUUCUAUUUUUUUUAAGAAAAAAAAAUAGACUGGUGGGUACUCACAGAAAAGUUGUAUAAGUCCCCCUGUUGCUAUUUUUGAUGAUAGAGAAUAAAUAGGGUUUUUGAAACCUUUGUAGUGUUUUUUCUUAAAAUCCACUCUUGGCAAUGCAAUAAAAAAAACCGUCACCAUAAGCCAGUG
rnacentral:sRNA from 1 species